UCUGAGUCUCACCAAUCUUCUUCUCUUUCUUUCCCACUCCAUGUUUCUUUGAUUUUAAUCUUAUCAUUGUUUUUCAAUCUUAUUUGAUUCAAUUCGCUUCCUCACGUUCUCAGUUUCGAUCUCUAACCACCGUUGAUUGAAGCUUCACAACCACACUCCUUUUGACACCGCGUCACCACCACCACCACCACCACCAACCCUCCCAUCUGCCAUCGCUUCUCAGAUCCGUCUUCACCAGAGUCGCCACCACCACCGUCACGCUCGUCAUAAUCACCACUCAGCUCUCUGUCUCUCACUUUCUGUUUCUUAUUCUCUCUGCAUUGAGAAAGAAGCGCGAGGCACUCACCAGUGGCAGUUCUUUUACCAAAUCUAAAAGCUUUGCUUCAGGACAUUGACAGAAGCCGAGGAGCCAGAAGAUAUCUUUCAGGUCGAUGGUGAAGUCAAUAAACUCAGGUAGAUUAUGUAAAGUUGUGUGAAGUCGGACAUUAUCUCGUUGGAGUAUGAAAAGGUGAAGUUUCAUGGAGAGCUUGAUACUGGAAGAAGACAGAGGCUACGUCCUUUGGUGCUCCUGGAAACCGUGUUGCUGAAUUGGUAUUUAACACCUCCUUGACAGGUUAGCUGUGGGGACAUUAGAUGGAGUUGGAGUCGAGCAAGAUAGAAGAGAGGAGAUGGAGUUGGUUCAGAAGCGAGGGAAGAGAGAUACAUAAGAAGUUUGAUGGCGCUGGAAGAGUAGAGACGUUAGGAAUGAUUGCGAAGGGUUAUUAGUAGUAGAUUGAUAGUAUUUUUGAUAGAUUUUGAUGGUUUGUGUAAACAAGAAAAUGUUUUAUGGUUUUGUAAAUAUUUAAAUAUUUUUUAGUGUUUAUAAAU